UACGUAGGGCGCAAGCGUUGUCCGGAAUUAUUGGGCGUAAAGAGCUCGUAGGUGGUGUGUCGCGUCUGCCGUGAAAGCCCGGGGCUUAACUCCGGGUCUGCGGUGGAUACGGGCAGACUAGAGGCAGGUAGGGGAGAACGGAAUUCCCGGUGUAGCGGUGAAAUGCGUAGAUAUCUGGAGGAACACCGGUGGCGAAGGCGGCAUCCCGGACCGACAUUGACGCUGAGGCGCGAAAGCCAGGGGAGCAAACGGG
rnacentral:rRNA from 1 species